GUACGGGUGAGGGCGGGGCUCGGCGCGGCCUUGACAACGGGCCGGGCGCCUCGGCCGGAGGCUCGGAGACUACAGUUCCCAGCGGGCUCCGCGCGGCCUGGGCGGGGAGAAGCGCCUCGGCCCAGUGCGCAGGCGCGAGAGCUCCUCGGGUUUAUAAGGGAGGUCCCCGGUCCUUCUCGUCCUUUCGCGUCUGCGACGCUUCCCUAGUCGUUUCUUGCUUUCCUGUCUCGUACAGUGGCUUCCUGCGUCCGGAGCUCCGCGCUCUUUGUGGUUAACAUGGCCAGAAGGUACACAGCGACUGUUGGAGGAGGAAGUCACUUCUGGGCGUGUAGGGGAGCCCCGUGUAGACAUCUGCAGCCUUGGAUCUCCUGACCACGGGGAUGAGCAUCUGUCUCCUGGAUUGUUGUAGAAAACCUUGCUUUGAGGAGCCUCUUGGUUGGCGAUGCAGAUGGGAAAAGGUUUUCUGUUGGCAGAAGCCAGGCCUUAAAUGAACCAAGAUAAGUUUGUACAUGGAAGAGGAAGGGUCAGGAACUACUUGUGCCACGUGUGUUGAUGUUGCUCUUUGGUUCGGAUCAGUUUCCCAACAGGAAGUUUCUCAGCUAUGGAGUCUCUACUGGGCCCCUUGAAAAACUGACCACUUGUUCUCCUGGAAGUGAAGCUCUUCUGGCUGAACUAGUACCUCAGUGCUAUUGUGUUUACCGCCUUAAGUUUGGGAGACUGCCUUAUUGCUUUGUUAGACCUUGGUAAAAUUUCUAACUACAUUGCCUUUGUAACCAUGUAGCCUUUACCUGGGAAAGAAUAAAGUUCUUUAAAUCAGA